UACGAAGGGUGCAAGCGUUACUCGGAAUUACUGGGCGUAAAGCGUGCGCAGGCGGUUUUGUAAGUCUGUCGUGAAAUCCCCGGGCUCAACCUGGGAAUUGCGAUGGAGACUGCAAGGCUAGAAUCUGGCAGAGGGGGGUAGAAUUCCACGUGUGAGCAGUGAAAUGCGUAGAUAUGCGGAGGAACACCGAUGGCGAAGGCAAUCCCCUGGACCUGUACUGACGCUCAUGCACGAAAGCCGUGGGGAGCAAACAGG
rnacentral:rRNA from 1 species